GAUGAACGCUAGCUGCAGGCUUAACACAUGCAAGUCGAGGGACCGGCGCACGUGUGAGUAACACGUAUCCCACCUGCCCUUUACUCGGGGAUAGCCUUUCGAAAGAAAGAUUAAUACCCGAUAUAAAGGAUGGGGAUGCGUUCCAUUAGGUUGUUGGUGAGGUAACGGCCCACCAAGCCUUCGAUGGCUAGGGGUUCUGAGAGGAAGGUCCCCCACAUUGGAACUACGACCCGGUCCAAACUCCUACGGUGGGCAGCAGUGAGGAAUAGUGGUCAAUGGGCGUUAGCCUGAACCAGCCAAGUAGCGUGAAGGAUGAAGGGUUAUGGGUCGUAAACUUCUUUUAUAUAAGAAUAGGUAUUAUAUGAAUAAGGAUCGGCUAACUCCGUGCCAGCAGCCGCGGUAAUAC
rnacentral:rRNA from 1 species